AGCAGCCGCGGUGAUUCCAGCUCCAAUAGCGUAUAUUAAAGUUGUUGCAGUUAAAAAGCUCGUAGUUGAAUUUCGGGAUCAAUUAGUCGGUCGUGCCUCUGGUACGUACUGGUUUUAUUGGUUCCUCCCUUCUGACGAAACAUGAUGUCAUUAAUUUGGUGUCGUGGGGAAUCAGGACUGUUACCUUGAAAAAUUAGAGUGUUUAUAGCAGGCUAACGCUUGAAUACAUUAGCAUGGAAUAAUGAAAUAGGACGUUCGACCCUAUUUUGUUGGUUUCUAGGAUCGACGUAAUGAUUAAUAGGGAUAGUUGGGGGCAUUAGUAUUCAAUUGUCAGAGGUGAAAUUCUUGGAUUUAUUGAAGACUAACUACUGCGAAAGCAUUUGCCAAGGAUGUUUUCAUUAAUCAAGAACGAAAGUUAGGGGAUCGAAGACGAUCAGAUACCGUCGUAGUCUUAACCAUAAACUAUGCCGACUAGGGAUCGGAUGAUGUUAAUUUUUAUGAC
rnacentral:rRNA from 1 species